UACAGGGGGUGCAAACGUUGCUCGGAAUCAUUGGGCGUAAAGCGCACGUAGGCGGUUCGUUAUGUCGGAUGUGAAAGCCCUUGGCUUAACCGAGGAAGUGCAUCCGAAACUGUCGGGCUAGAGUCCGGAAGAGGCGAGUGGAAUUCCCGGUGUAGCGGUGAAAUGCGCAGAUAUCGGGAGGAACACCAAUGGCGAAGGCAGCUCGCUGGGACGGUACUGACGCUGAGACGGCGAAAGCGUGGGGA
rnacentral:rRNA from 1 species